GCGUGAAUGAUGAAGGCCUUCGGGUUGUAAAGUUCUUUUGGUAGGGACGAUGAUGACGGUACCUACAGAAUAAGCUCCGGCUAACUUCGUGCCAGCAGCCGCGGUAAUACGAAGGGGGCUAGCGUUGUUCGGAAUUACUGGGCGUAAAGGGUGCGUAGGCGGUUCGAUAAGUCAGAUGUGAAAGCCCCGGGCUCAACCCGGGAGCUGCGUUUGAGACUGUCGAGCUAGAAUUCGGGAGAGGUGAGUGGAAUUCCCAGUGUAGAGGUGAAAUUCGU
rnacentral:rRNA from 1 species